AUGAAUCCUUUUACUCGUACUCUCAGGCAGGUUUUUGUACGGCCAGUAGAUCAGACUGAAUCACUGUGUCGCAUCUUUGGUGGCGGCAGUAAACUUGAUGUUGGAAGAGACACGCGUCCCACCCUGACGGUCCUGCGCCCCCCCAGCGCGGAGCUGUCCAGUGGGGGAGGGGUGACGGUGGUGUGCCUGGCCAGCGGGGGCUUCCCCUCGGGCUGGGCGCUGGGCUGGAGGGUGGGGAGCAGCAGCAGGGGGGUGGGGGUGAGCGGGGGCGCGGGGGUCCUGCAGCGGGACGGCCUGUACAGCUUCAGCAGCGUCCUCACCCUCUCUGCGGCCGAGUGGGAGAAGGGCGACGCCCUCACCUGUGAGGCCACCCUGUCCGGCCACGCCCCCGUCACCCAGACGCUGAGGAGAGAAGAGUGCUGAGAGUGCCUGAGGAGGGGCUACUGCAGCCUGCCCUGCCAUACCCCACCCUAAAGCACCCCGCCUCGCCCCAUCCUUCCCAAGCCUGCACCUCACUGUCCCGCCCCGCCGUCCCUCGCCCUGCCCUGCCUCGCUCUGCCCUGCCAUGCCCUCACAUACCCUGCCCCUCCCUGCCAUGCCCUGCCCUGCCCUGCCAUACUCCCAUUUUAAUUCUGUUUAUACCAGCAUUGCUGUCUUUCACUCCAGCAGACCUGCUUAUUGUUGUUUAUCUCUUUAAUAAAAACUCAUAAGGAUCAUAA